UCAACUUUUUUGGAAAGGACAGAAAAAAGUGCAGUGGUCUCUUAAUUAUUUCCAGAGCUGUAUAUAUAUUUUUUUAAGUUUAUUAAAAUGUAUUACAGGUAACAACUUAUAGCACUUUUGGGACUUAAGUUUAUCAACUUAAAAAUGCCAUAUUUUAUUAAAAUGAACAAAAUUGAUGAGGGAAUGAUGAUGAUGUGCAGUGCAAGAAUCAUGUUUAAAAUGUCACCUUGAUCACACCUACAACAUGGGUAUUUGUGCAUGUUCAACACUCACCUUUGUUACAAUUUUCGUCAAGCUGUUUACAAACCAUUUACUGUGUAUGUUAGAUCAAUCUAACACACCACACAGUACAUACUGAAGCUUUACAUCCCAGUGCUGCAAUGCAAAUAUGCAGUAGCGGUGAAUUGGAAUGGAACGUUUUCCUGGUGUGCCAGAGGGCUAUGAUGCAGUAGGUGUGAUCGAGGCAUUGCCAUUUAAUGUCCUGAACAUUAAUUAGUUAUUCAGGUCCAUAUCAGUGAGGAUAGAAUUUGUUAUGUGUACAAAAAAAUGCACAGGACACAAAUGAAAGUUUUGGCAUAAGCUUUUAACAUUUUUAUUGAGUUUUGAUGUUUUCUCUUUAAAUUGGAUUUGUUUGUUUUUCCAGUAAAUUUUGUGUUUUUUUCAUAAUUUUAUUAUUCUUGUUUUAUUUACCUAUCUGUAAAGGAGAAGAGUUGUUCAGUUUAAUUAGCAUUCACUUUCAAACUUUCAUACUUUUUAUAAUAGAACUGUUUUAAGUCUCUUUUUUCACAAACUUUGUUAAAUUAUUACUGUUUAUUCAUCUUUUUUCUUUACAUGUUUCAAAAAUAUAAAAGGUAAAUAAUAAACAUUCCAUUGAAAUAUAUUUUAUACAGUUCUUGAUUCGUUUUUUUUAUUUUCCUGUGUUAUGACAUUAAAAUUGUAUCCAGCAUCUGUCUUUACAGCAUAAACCCCAUUCAGUGUUAUUGUAGUAACCUUCUCUUCCUCCAUCUCUGUCUUCCCUCUCUUCUGCCCCUGAUAGGAAAGUUGCAUGGCAGCACCCAGUGCCUUGUUCGCUGGCGACAAUGUAGUCAUAGCACAACAGUUGAGAGGACGAGUAGAAAUGGUAGCUGCAUUGCCGUUUUUAGUGCAAUGUAACUUUUCAAAUGUAAAAAGGUACAACACAAAUCAGCAGUCAAACCAAUAAAUCGGUCAAAAAAAGGCAGCAGAUGCUAAGAAAAAGGAAUAAAAGAAGAAAAUAAAAACAGAGAACCACAGAUAAAAUGAAUAACAAUGAUGUGCAUCCAAACAGAUACAUGUUAUACUCUUUGAAGUGACAGGCUACAUGAUGCGUCGGUCUAUGGGUGAAGAUGUAUCGAUGUUUAGGACAGGUGCACACGUAACAAUGUAAAAGAAGGGACAGACCGGUGCUAUAAUACUGGCACUGCUGAGAUCUCCCAGAUGUUUUACGUGUAUCAGUGACAAUAUCGGACUCAUGAAACUGAGCCUAGUUCACCUUCCUUUUCCUUUCAAGAGCAAUUCACAUACAUAUAGCCAAUAUAUUCCUACCAAUUCAAUCAAGCCACACAAAACAAAAUAAUGAAACAAAAGAAGGUAAAACAGCUAUAUAGAAAAAUAUUUUUUCUUUUUUUUAAUAGUUAAUUCAUUUUACUUUGCAUAUUCCCCCCGCCCCCCAGUCCUCUCACCACUGGCUGAGAGAGAAAGAGGAAGACAGAGAUUGCUGGCGAAAAGAGAGUUACUUCAUUCUGGCCAUUCACAAAUAAGUUAUAUUUUUUACUUUUUUUUCUCCCACGCAUGCAUUAGAAUUCAACUUCAAACAAUAUGUUAGAAAAACACAAGAACAGGGAUGCAAAAAGAGCUUCUUCCUCAAAAAAUGUGUGGAGGAGGGAAAGAAGGAGAGGGGGCUAGGAGACAGGGGGGAGGGAGGAAGACGGGGGGUAAGAGAGAAUACGUGACAGCGGGGUUUUCUGGCUUUACUCGGCUUCUCUCUUGAUAUGUUUCGUAUUUGGGUUUCAAGUAAAGUUAUGCAAGUGUUGAGCUGUCAUUCCUCUCAAAUGGGCGUGGCUCAAGUUCAGGAGCAGGGUCACACACUACCCCUGACACAUUAUCACUGACAUUGUGGAACCGACAACUGCGGUAGGCCAGUCAUUCACAUGUGGAGGUUGUUCAAUGGUACCAGCUCAGGAUCCACCAGUAGUACAUGAGUUGGUAAAAAUGCUUCUGAAUCAUGAUGGAAACAUGACAAAUUAAUCAAUAGCUGCUUUUCUAAAAAAGAGUUACUACUUCUUACCUGCUGUGUUUUUUUUAAAGGUUAAAAGUUAGGUUUAAAGUUACUUAACAAGUUUAGGGACAUGGCAUGGGACUGGCCCACAAAAUCAAGGGUUUGGAACAAAUUAUUGCUAUGACAAUAGUCCCUCCUCCCCCUCCAAUGUAAUGAAACAUCAAUAUUUCCAUUAUCUGUGCCUAGGCGUUCUACCAGAAGGAUGGUAUGGGGGUGUAUGAUCUGUGCCUAGGUGUUCUACCAGAAGGAUGGUAUGGGGGUGUAUGAUCUCUGCCUAGGUGUUCUACCAGAAGGAUGGUGUGGGGGUGUAUGAUCUGUGCCUAGGUGUUCUACCAGAAGGAUGGUAUGGGGGUGUAUGAUCUGUGCCUAGGUGUUCUACCAGAGGGAUGGUGUGGGGGUGUAUGAUCUGUCCAUAUCUUUCACUGUUUGUGCCAGUUGUGGUCGUCCCCUUUUUUCUUCCCACUGACCUGGCACUCUAUCCUUCUCUAACCUACAGUCAUUUCCAUUGUCAGAAUGAAACGUCUUGCAGCGAGAAAUGCUUCCAUAUGUCUCUCUCAACUGAAACUUUUUGUAAUUUUGGUAACAGACACCGUGCCCCAAUAACACUUUUUAGAAAGCGAGAGGAGUUGAAUGGAAGGAGAGGGGGAUAUGUGAAACGGGGAGUCUGGUAGCAGGAUUCAAACAUAAGAUGAAUGAAGUAGAUCCAGUGAAUACAAUGGAAACUUUGAGUUCAUGUACUUCUCCCAAGUGGCAAACUCCAGGGUCCCCCCAAUCCCAUUUACUUCAGUAAACAAUGCAUCAUGCUAGAUGAAGUAGCUGCCUCUGUUUCCCCCAACCCCUUCUUUGCCCUGUUCUUGCCCUCCCACACACGACAGACCCAAUACACUGAACUCCUUUGGCACGAUGAUAUAUUGAAUUAUAAUCGGAUGCUACAAACUCUUGCAUAGGUAGAUGCUCAGUUCUGAGUACAGUUCACUCAGCAUCUCUGGAACAUCAUCAAAAUCUCUAUCAUUGUGUUACACCAAAUAAACAAACCCACAAACAAACUGUCUGAUUUUGGCAAGUGAACACAAGUGAGCACGUGAUAAAAAAGGUAACACGCAAAUGAAUGUAACCCAAAUGGAAUUUGAAACGGUAAAAAGUGACAUCCAUUGAAAAUCUCUUCUCCCCGCUGGAUUAAUAAUUAACAGCCCUGAGAUGAACCCUGCCCUGCUGGGACACUCUGCUUGAUCAGAAUGUUACCAGUAACUAGGCCAUGGCUCAGAUCGUGGCCCUCUUAUCUGGGGAUAAACCACAUCCUACACAUCACACCGGCACCCCAGGAGAGGCAGAACAAGAGGCUACUGGAGACGAGCUAAACUCUGUCGUAGGCUUAGCUAAGGGUUUGCGGUGACUGGCGUGAAAUGACCUGCACGACAACACACACAGGUUUACCGGGGCAACAUGACACAACGGUUUUCACUUGCCAAAGAAACAUGGAAGGGAAAAAGUGAAAACUGGUUUCUGUUGCUGAGGGUGUGGUAACGACGCUAUAGCAAUGCAUCCAGCCAUACUGCAGGGCAGUCAGUGGUGGUGGAACGUCAACAAGAGCUUCUGUUCAUUUACAGACACCACAACAAUUUAAACAUAUUUUGCACAGAGUGUGGUGUUAAAUUCACAUGUCUUUGAGCAGCCGUUUUCCUGGCAAUGCUGACCCCAUCUGAGAAAAUGGCGCAAAGAUGACUGCUUCUCCAGGGGCUAGGGGCGCCAGCGUGCGUAAAACAUACACGGUCAACUGUCUGCAGAGUUAGUGACCUGGAACUAGUUUCUCUCAGGGAGCGGAGGAAUGUGUUUAAUGCCAAAAUGAUACAUUAUGCACCUCCCUGUAAUAAUGAAGAUAAGACUGCAGGACAUUAUCACACAGAACUAAUGUAUCAGGUCUGAGGGAAGAAAGAGCUGUCUAUGGCCACUAAGUCCAGUGCUACAGGAGCAACCUAGCUAGCUAGGAAAAUAAAUUAAUAUUACCGGGCUACUUGAAGUAAUCAGUGCUGAUUUAUUGUGUGUCCUGGCUGAGUGUGUUCAUGGCUAACAAACUGUCUGCUAGGUAACGCUAUGCUACCUUACUAUUACCUCAUAGGGUCUACACCAGGGCCCCAGUGGUGAAGCAAACAUCUUAAGCACAAGGCUGAAAGAAAAACAAAAGCAUGGUCAUAUCCAUUUGAGCACAGUCCACAUUUCUCAUUGAGCAAGUUCAGGUAUAGUCCGUCCCCGAUCGGUCCCAUUUUCCUUUGUUCAUAUCGUAGUGAAUACCACCCUCUAAUCUAAGAACAGUCCAACUAAACAGAGUUAUGCAGACAGAUGGAACAGUGAAAAGGGGGCCUGAAUGGACAGCAGGGUGGAAGACACAGAGAACUGGCAGCAGGGGGCGCCAUUGGGGCGGUAGGACCAGAGAGUGAGCAGUAGUAGAAGAAAAAGCAGAGCGAGUAGUCAUAGUAGUAUCAGGGGAAGGUCCUCACAGUUCAUCUCUGGAAGAUUUGUGGGGUUUGUUUCUUAAGAAAACAUAGUUCAUUGAAUGUGUAUCUUGCAAUCCUAUAUAUUUUUUUCGUUAUUCCUUUUUUAUUAUCCAAAAACAAAAUAUAGAUCUCCUUUUUUAUAGAAUCCUGCUUUUUUUAUUAGUUGCAUAUAACAUAAAUCUUUUUAGUUUCAUCUUGAUUUUGUUCUUUUUUUUUUAUUCCUAGCCCUCUUUUUUGGUGGGGAGGCGGGGUGGUUAGGGCUUGCAGAAGUAGAGUCAUGCAGAAUAGUCAUGCUGGUAAACAAAGUAAUAAAAAUGCAUUUCCCAAUUUUUCCACUUCUUUUGCCGGAAUAGUUCAUCAAAGUUCACCCUCUUCACGCUCUUUUCCCGCACUUCUUGUGAACCUUUCUAAAACCCCCAGAUCUGAUCUUCCUACUUCCUAUAGAGAGGAGAAAGAUCCUUACAGUAAACUCUCUCAACAAGCAGCAGACCGGUUGUCAAGUUGACCCUUGCUGAUAGUUACCAAUCAGAUCUUUUUGAACAAGGUUGAUUCCUCAUUUGUUUGGUUUGAAGAGUCUCUCUGAUCGCCCUCUUCAUUCUUUAGUUCGGUAGGUUUCGUUCUUCAGGUAUUUUCGUUCAUGCCAUGCAGUUUGCUACGGAGGAGGCGCGAUGCUGAGAUGCAGAAGGGCAGAGGUAAAGAGAGGGAGAGAUGGAGAAAGAGAGGGCGAUGUCCUGUAUGUCCUUGUUUCCCAAGCAGUCGCUUCUGGUCACAGCGUUUGCGUUGCGGUCAUGUUCCAGUGUCUCUCUCCAUUGGUUUCCUCCUCAACUCUUCAGCACACACAAGUAUACUCAGGUUGUAUUUGGGCCUUUGUGGAUGAGUAGGUUCCUCAAGUUCAGACGGCACCCUCUUGCAUGUAACAUCAGUCAUAGUCAGUCAGUCAGUUAUUGUAUUGUCAGACACGCCUUUGUAUGAAAUGGCAAGUGGCAUGGUAUCUUAAAUGAGUCUGGUUGCUCCAUAAGCCACUGUAAUUCACCACCUUCGGAAAGUGCGUCUCUUGUGGAAGUUAAGAAAAGAGUUGUCAAUCAAAGGUGUGACUGACUGAACGUAGGUAUUGCCACCUCAGUGAACUGACUCGAGUCAGUGGACUGACACAGUGGUCGUUCAAACUCAAAGCUUUGCAUAGUUUGGCCGCCUAACAGAUAGAAAUGCUUGUGUGUCAAUUUAGCCAUUGGCAAGCACCUGGCUCUUAUUUUCAGGAGUCCCACCCACGCUGACAAUGCUGUGUAAUCUCAGAAUGCAGCUGCAGCUAGUUUGUAUAGCCUACCCCAUAUAGCCAAACUUCGGCAUAGUACUGUACUUCAAGAGCAUAUAUUAUCUUAAUGGUAUAUUGGGACGACAACCAAGUUGUGGAACGUUGUUCUACUGUCCCAUGUUCCUUUUGUUCUGUUUUAGGGAACUUUUGUGAUAUUGUUUGAUUGAUUUGGAAUUUCUUUAGCAAUGACUUAGCAUAUUACGACUGAAGUACAGUGAUAUAAGGUGUGAAUAGGGUGACAUAAGGAAUGGGUUUCAGUGUGUUUUUUUUCUCCAGGUAGUCAGAGUCAGGUUUCAUAGGGAGGGUGCAGAUUGAGCAGUCCACAGGAACAAGAGAUCAACUAAUCUCUUCCAGUCAGUUUUUCAUCCAUCCUCCUCUCAUCGUCCUUUCAGAUCUCUCUCUCUUUCUCUCUCCAACUACGUCUCCCUUCAGCCUACAGUAAAUCCAGUAGGGGGCGCUGGGUGAAUUGUGUCCUAAGGGUUGUCCCUCUUCUUGGAGAGAAAGGGUGAUUUUAGAAACUCAACACUGGAACAAAGAGAGAACAGAAACAGGGACUGUUGUCAGUGCACAUUCCAGCAGACCUAGAACAUCAACGGGCUAACCAGAUUAGAUGUUUAAAAACAUAUUGAAACAGGGUUUUUAGUUGACAUUAAUAGCAUAACAUGCUUGAAUGGGAUAUUUAAUUCAUUAUAUAUUCUCAGUAGUCAAUGGUAAAAAAAGAUAUUGUUUAUAUGACUGGAUGAGUACAACUCUUCAAAUACAAGAGCUAACUGAUCUAUAGACGACAAGAGCAAACAAAAGACCUGCUUUUGGCAAAGCACAUCUGGCAUGCAUGUACACAAAAUAGGAAAUGGCAGGAAAGCAUGUACACCUUGUACGCACACACACAAUCGCAUACACACAUACACACAGUACGCAGACACACCAACAAAAAUGCCGUGGGUGGUUUCAGUCCUUGAGGGCUGUUAAGUCCUCUGGCGUUUGUCCACCUCUUAAUUCAUCAGUUAGUCAUAGUCGAAUAGUGAGCCAUUUGAGCAAAAAUCAUUCCCACACAGGACCACAGCCCACCAGGACUGUUAGCAAAGCUAAACAGACCGAGUGCUAUAAGAACUUCAGUCAGUGUAUGCAUCCUAAAGCCUACAAAAGCACAGAAGCGACAUGGAGGAAAUAAUGAAACACUAAACAGAGCGAAGCACGGAAACACAAGACACGUGCUACACAAAGACUGUUACUACACACACAGACACACACCGCUAGAACACAGCACAAAGAGCACAGCACAGAACACAGCACACAGAGCACAGCGCAGAACACAGCACACAGAACACAGCGCAGAACACAGCACACAGAACACAUUCUUACACUGAGAAGCGACCAGCUUUGUUCCUCCUCUCAUUUAGUUUUUGUUCUUUCUUCCCCAAACUGUCCUCCAUUUCAUGGUUCUUCCUUUGUUGACAAACCUUCUUUUAAAAAAAUGUAUAUACAGUUCCUAUCCCCCCCCUCCCCUCCCCUGCAUGAAAAAAACAAUAUCUGCAACACCUGACAGUCUUUCUGUCCACUUCUAUGCUCUGGAGUCGUUUGCAAUCCACUUUAGGGAAGAUGGAGUUCACGUUAUGGUGGUGGUCAUUUAAUUUCUCCCCCAAAGUCUGUUAUUUUUGGUUUUUGUAAUGGACGCAGUAGAGAUGGCACAUCUCAAAAUAGAAAAGAAGCAACAAUUGGAGAAGGGCGAGAUGGGGUAAAACAAGGGAUGAGGACACAGAACACACAAUAUUUACAGGUAUGCACAAACUGCAGAGGAAGCAGAACAUUUCAAACCUUCUCUCUGUCCGGCUCUGUUAGACAAAAAUGUCUGGAAGCACUGAUUUCAACCAACAUAGAGAGAGAGAGAUAUAUAUAUACCUGAGUUGUGAAUGAAGCCUGAAGUAACAGGUAAAAAUGAAGAAGAGGGAAGAGUGGGAGGUGUAGUCAAGAACAGUGUGUCUAUGAUAUUACAUUAACUUGUACAUCAAUUGGCUAGGCUACAAACAUCCUAAAUUGUAUCAUCUUAAAAUCAAUCUUGCUAGUUUGGACCUACUUUUUGAAGCAUCUUUGGAACAAGUUUUUAUUUUUUACAGGUAACUACAUAUGCAUUAAAGCAAUGAUCCAAUGAUAGCAUGAUAACAUGAAAACAUGAAACAUGACAAAUGAUAGCAUGAUAACAUGAAAACAUGAACAUCAUCCACCAGCGACACCCUUAACUUCUCCACCACCAAUGACCCACAUAACAGAAUCAGAAUUCACUCAACUGAUCUGUUGACCUUUUGCUGUGUUUAAAGACAACCCUUUCCUGUCCCAACAUGGGGGAAUCAAUAGGGAAACACACAUUCUGGACUAUUUCAUGGGAGAACACUCAUUAUUGACUAUUUCCAUUCUUAUUAUAAGGACAGUGUCCAAAGUGGCCUGGGCAGUAGGGGGCCAUUUCAAAACCUAGACAUUUCAGAUGCAUCCUAAGGCUGAAAAGGUAAAUGAUGCACAUAUACGCAGCAGAAGGAGUCAGGUGUUUCCACAGCCUAGUGGUGGUCACUUUUGAACUCUAGAGAAAGUACAGUCCAUCCUUAGAGUGUUAAAGACAGAUGAGAUUUAUUUUGCUAUCUGCCAUCAUGACUCUGUCAUAAAUCUGUAAUGCGGGGGAAGAGGUUUAUUUCAAUGUGACUCUGUUUUCUUACUCCUCGUGGUCACUGAUUACCGCUACACCCCACUGUAGAUGUCCUAUAGAUGAUUUCUGGAGGGAACAAAACGGCAUACGUUGUGAGGGUUUCCCCUCCACUUAGGGCAGCAUGUUUGGGUCACUUGUAAGCUACUCAAAAGUAACUUAUGUUCCUUUAAGAAGUUAAAGCCCUGUCAUUUCAAGUGGAAGAGGGACAAUACAGGACAGGACAGAAUGGAAAAACAGAAAGGUUCAACAGAGGUUUAUGGAGUGUGUAGAAAAGUGGGUAAGAUUGGGGCUGGCUUUGGCCGAUGUGGUUGUCAAAGGCAGAAAUUGAGUUAUGGGCACUCAUGUUCCUGCCAUUGUGAAAAAAGAGACGAAGUAGAUUGUUCUUUUUCCCCAUCUAGUAUUAAUUCACAGUUACUGCUUCUUUUUGCAUAUAUCUGAUGAGCACAGGGCUCUCAGAAUAGUUCUCUGUGAAAAGAUAACAAAAAAGUAAAUGGUAAGGUAAAUAUUAUUACCAGUUAGUCUAGUUAGGUCUAUAAGAAAUAACAGCUACAAGAGACCACUACUUACCCCUUCCCUACAAUUGUAAAAAAUGGAUUUCCCAAACACCCCCCCCAACCCUGCUAGAGUAACAAUGGUCUCUUCCAUCUUUUUGCAUCAUAGCAUGCAUAUAUAAGCCCCACUCUUCUGAUAGAAAACAGUAGAGGUAAGUGCUCUUUCCCCUAAUAGCAUGCUGGUCAUCUAUAUGGAUGUGCGUAGAACACAUUCAUAUACACUUUUUAUAUACUAUAACUAUGUACACAUUCAUUAAGCUUACGAUCAAAUCUCAUGUCUUAUCAAAUCACGUUUCCUGACUAAAGAUACAGACACAUCGAUUCCUUAUUGCUUGCAAUGGAAAGCCCAUGCAGAUUGAAAUAGGUCAAAACUUUACAACUGUACAGAAUAUUUUGGACCAAUAACUGGCCUAAGAAGAAUUCUUAAAGAAAUUAAAAACAGACACCCAAAGCACUAGAUCAAGGGAAAGGAUUCUGGAGAGAUCAAGGAAGGAUGAGAGAACAUGAGAGUCAUUUGGUAGUUUGUGUUUGGGCAACAGUGUCAUAUACAAAGAUAAAGACACUAUGGGUACAAACAACUCUGGGGGCUGAGUACCAGUGUGGGCGUGGCGGGGUGAAUUCCAUUUAUAUUCUAUCAAUUCUGAAGGUGAAUAUAACAUUCAAAUCCUAAUAUUCUGUAAAAUGGUGGUAUUCAUUUGUGCCUCAAACGAAUAUUCUGCUUCACGGGCAUUAACAACAUAUUCUAGUCUGAAGUCAUUCAGGUGACAUCGAAAUGAGGGGAGUGCAAAACAGUUAUCAGCAACUGGAUGAUCUCUGACCAAUCAGAGCUCUACAGAAGCCGUUUUGACAUUUAGUUUUUCUCAUGUUCACUCUUUUCUCAUGGCUCUGGUCCAGCCCAUCCAUUUCUUGGACCUAUCAGAGGGAACCCAUCAGUUUCUAGGACCAAUCAGAAUGUUUUAGAUAAUUUAGACAAUAUAUCCAUCUCCUGGAGAUUCCAGACUCCUUGCAGAGAAGAAACAAAUGGCAGUAGCACAACAUUUGGCCAGAGCAAGGAGUCUGGGUUGCCAGGAAAAGCUCUAAAUUCAUGGACUGAGAUUCACUGCAGUCAGAACAGCCUCCACCCUAACCCUUUAGGUUCUCCCUCCCUGACAGUGCUGCAGUCAGAACAGCCUCCACCCUAACCCUUUAGGUUCUCCCUCCCUGACAGUGCUGCAGUCAGAACAGCCUCCACCCUAACCCUUUAGGUUCUCCCUCCCUGACAGUGCUGCAGUCAGAACAGCCUCCACCCUAACCCUUUAGGUUCUCCCUCCCUGACAGUGCUGCAGUCAGAACAGCCUCCACCCUAACCCUUUAGGUUCUCCCUCCCUGACAGUGCUGCAGUCAGAACAGCCUCCACCCUAACCCUUUAGGUUCUCCCUCCCUGACAGUGCUGCCUCAUUUUUAAAACACUUAACCCACAAAGGCUUCUUCUAUUCUACCCUGCUACUACUGACAUAUCAUACUCUGAUCUAAUACGCGUCACAUCUCUUCACAAUGUCAGGCUGUCCUGUGGAGGACACAGUUCUUAACCUAACCAGUCCUGAGCUUUGAUUUAUGUUAAGCUUUUGUCUCAUUGUCUUUCUCUUUUUGUGUUGCCAAGAUAGAUGACUGUGGGUACCCUAUAGUCUUUUUGUAGCUGAAUACUAACUGAGGUGCGCACAAAGGCUACUUCUAUAUGAUGCUAAUGCGAACACUAGAUAUAGAUAAUGCCCGUUCUAAGACUUUGCUACUUCUGUCUGUACACAACUCUCUGUUUCUAGUGAGAGAGGAAAGGGUGGACAAGUGAAAGAUGAUGAGGGGAAGCCAUGGGAGGAUAAAAAAUCAAUAAAUCACAUCAAUUCAACCUGACAGAUUUCAAGCAACAACUGGAAUCGACCAGUGAGAGACACAAGCAUUACCUUAAAAAUGGCAACAUUCGAUGCCAAUAAGUAUCAACAAUAAAAUCGACAUCUGAUAAAAGGAGAUAACAUUGUAAAAUACAAAAAUAAACAAUUCUGUAAAUGAACCGCUUAAAUAAAAAUAUACAAUCAUGAGUGACAAUAACAAAACAUCGACAGUGGGUAUAUAAACAUAGAAUGGUCAUAGCAUUGACAUUCAUACCCAUUUCCUUUUCAUCAAACUAUUUCAAAAGAAAAUUGAGAUUUGAAAAAGUUAGUCUCUUUCUGAUCUCUGAUAUGGAAGGAAAACAUGUAUCCUCCUUUUUUUUCUCCAGAAAACAGUGAGAAAGUAAGGAAAGAUCUGUCGUUUGGAUGAAUUGGCACUCUUGCAUCUUGGGCUGGAGGUAGAUGCAUGUCUGUGCACACAAAACCAUAUGUGUGCCACAGAUACACAGCACACAGCACAUCUCCAUAAGAUUAACUAUACAUAGAUACAAAUAUAUUUCUAUACAUUGCAUAUUUCUAUAUAUGUAUGUUGCCUUUUUUGUUCAUUUUGUCAUUGGUUUGUUGGGUUCUUCUACCAAGCGCUGUCAGUCCAUCCUCCAUUCACAGUGCCCUCUUUUAACAUGAGGACCGAUGACGGUUCAGCAGCCAGGGCAGGUAGGUGGUGG
ensembl:lncRNA